rnacentral:lncRNA from 1 species
GCUGACACACUCAGAAUUAACAUUUGUCCAUUUGCUUUUCAGAUUUCUUUUCUCUGCAAUCUUAUGGAUUUAUGUGUUCUUGAAAAUUGCUUUACUAUCAUAAUUGAGGUUUCUGAAGACAACAGGAGUAAAUGCUUAUGCUUUCUCCUCUGUCAUGUAGAGAUCCCAAAAUGUUAUCCUUCAUGGUGAAGCAUUCACAAGGACCACUUUACCAUGGCAACAGCAUCACCUUCCAUCGUUGUCUUGAAGAAAAUUUCCCAGAAACUUGAUCGGAAUACAUGAGGAUUUGGAAUUGAUUUGAUGGAACAGACUAAACUAAUUGGUUACCUGUGGAAAGGAUUAAAGUUGAAGGAGCAGGAAGACAUUUGGAGAAAUGCUGGUAUGUGCUGUAUUUUGUUUGGGAUGAGUUAUUGGGAAUGUGCAUUUGUCAAAUUGAAUCACAUAUUUAAAGUGGGUGCCUCUUACUGCAUAUAAGUUACAACUCCAUAAAGUUAAUUUAAACAAAAAACAUGAUAUGUGCCGUGAAACUGGGUAUUAUAUGAAAUGGAGUACAGUGUGCAGGAGGUGUCUCAAGAAGGCAUCUCUGUGCAAAAGUCUCUAUGAGAAGUUUAAAUAAAAUUCACUGGGGGCCAUUACUAUUUUACUGACCUACACUACACCUGAACAGACCACACUGAAUCAUUCAUGCUAGCUGCCUCAUGAGCAAACUGAAUUUAGUAAUAGGCCAGUUUAGGGCCCAGGGAUUUAGCUCGGUGGUUCUGCCACCUGCCUCUCAAGCACUAGGACCUGAUUUUGAUCCCUAGUACCAAAAAACAAAAAAGGAAGAGAAAUAGGCCAGUUUUCCAGAAAAUAGGAGAUUCAUAAUAAACAAUCCAAAGGGGCCUGCUCAGCCUGGAUAACACAAAGAGGCAGUCUCCUCCACUUUAACCCUAAAAAAGUGACUUUGAAAUGACAAUUCUAUUUCAUUUUCAUUGUUUCUGUUUUCUUCAGUCCUUUUUCUGUCUGUAAAGCCCACUUGCUUUCAGAUGACAUAUUGCUGCCUGGUUCAUGAAUCAGUGAUAAAAGUCAGUUACAUCUUUGAGUGCAAUUUGUUGAGGAUUUUUGUUUUUUGACAAAAGGAAAUGGGCCCAAUGAGGAAUUACACAGGGAAAGACCUGGAUGUUUUUCUUACUUUUCUUGUAAUGGGGCAAAAAUUCAUCAUUUUCAUUCAGGCAAAAAUCCCAAUUUUACUUGCUUCUAGAAGGAAAGUGUAUGCAAC